rnacentral:rRNA from 1 species
AAGUCGAACGGUAACAGGAAGCAGCUUGCUGCUUUGCUGACGAGUGGCGGACGGGUGAGUAAUGUCUGGGAAACUGCCUGAUGGAGGGGGAUAACUACUGGAAACGGUGGCUAAUACCGCAUAACGUCGCAAGACCAAAGAGGGGGACCUUCGGGCCUCUUGCCAUCAGAUGUGCCCAGAUGGGAUUAGCUUGUUGGUGAGGUAACGGCUCACCAAGGCGACGAUCCCUAGCUGGUCUGAGAGGAUGACCAGCCACACUGGAACUGAGACACGGUCCAGACUCCUACGGGAGGCAGCAGUGGGGAAUAUUGCACAAUGGGCGCAAGCCUGAUGCAGCCAUGCCGCGUGUAUGAAGAAGGCCUUCGGGUUGUAAAGUACUUUCAGCGGGGAGGAAGGUGUUGUGGUUAAUAACCGCAGCAAUUGACGUUACCCGCAGAAGAAGCACCGGCUAACUCCGUGCCAGCAGCCGCGGUAAUACGGAGGGUGCAAGCGUUAAUCGGAAUUACUGGGCGUAAAGCGCACGCAGGCGGUCUGUCAAGUCGGAUGUGAAAUCCCCGGGCUCAACCUGGGAACUGCAUUCGAAACUGGCAGGCUUGAGUCUUGUAGAGGGGGGUAGAAUUCCAGGUGUAGCGGUGAAAUGCGUAGAGAUCUGGAGGAAUACCGGUGGCGAAGGCGGCCCCCUGGACAAAGACUGACGCUCAGGUGCGAAAGCGUGGGGAGCAAACAGGAUUAGAUACCCUGGUAGUCCACGCCGUAAACGAUGUCUACUUGGAGGUUGUGCCCUUGAGGCGUGGCUUCCGGAGCUAACGCGUUAAGUAGACCGCCUGGGGAGUACGGCCGCAAGGUUAAAACUCAAAUGAAUUGACGGGGGCCCGCACAAGCGGUGGAGCAUGUGGUUUAAUUCGAUGCAACGCGAAGAACCUUACCUGGUCUUGACAUCCACAGAAGAAUCCAGAGAUGGAUUUGUGCCUUCGGGAACUGUGAGACAGGUGCUGCAUGGCUGUCGUCAGCUCGUGUUGUGAAAUGUUGGGUUAAGUCCCGCAACGAGCGCAACCCUUAUCCUUUGUUGCCAGCGGUUAGGCCGGGAACUCAAAGGAGACUGCCAGUGAUAAACUGGAGGAAGGUGGGGAUGACGUCAAGUCAUCAUGGCCCUUACGACCAGGGCUACACACGUGCUACAAUGGCGCAUACAAAGAGAAGCGACCUCGCGAGAGCAAGCGGACCUCAUAAAGUGCGUCGUAGUCCGGAUUGGAGUCUGCAACUCGACUCCAUGAAGUCGGAAUCGCUAGUAAUCGUGGAUCAGAAUGCCACGGUGAAUACGUUCCCGGGCCUUGUACACACCGCCCGUCACACCAUGGGAGUGGGUUGCAAAAGAAGUAGGUAGCUUAACCUUCGGGAGGGCGCUUACCACUUUGUGAUUCAUGACUGGGGUGAAGUCGUAACAAGGUAACCGUAGGGGAACCUGCGGUUGGAUCACCUCCUUACCUUAAAGAA